GAGGCGGGAGGGGGACGGCGGUGCUACGAGGUCGGCGCGCAGCUCCGCUGCGGGUCGCUCGGGCGCUGUCCAGGCGGAGCCGGCCCCGCCCGGGCUGCAGCCAUGAUCAAGCGUUUCCUGGAGGACACCACGGAUGAUGGAGAACUGAGCAAGUUCGUGAAGGAUUUCUCAGGAAAUGAGAGCUGCCACCCACCAGAGGCUAAGACCCGGGCAUCCAGGCCCCAAGUCCCGGAGCCAAGGCCCCAGGCCCCGGACCUCUAUGAUGAUGACCUGGAGUUCAGACCCCCCUCGUGGCCCCAGUCCUCUGACAACCAGCAGUACUUCUGUGCCCCAGCCCCUCUCAGCCCAUCUGCCAGGCCCCGCAGCCCAUGGGGCAAGCUUGAUCCCUAUGAUUCCUCUGAGGCUGGGGCAAAGGCCUGAAAGGGAGAGAAGAUUGGCGCUGGGUGCCGGGGCCCCUUUGGCUCCUCACCCUGACGCAUUCUGCCUUCCUGUCUACUAGGAUGACAAGGAGUAUGUGGGCUUUGCAACCCUUCCCAACCAAGUCCACCGAAAGUCCGUG
rnacentral:sRNA from 1 species